ACGAGCCACUGGCUUUCCUCCUCCGAUGAGGGCAUCACUGCCAGAAACCAUCUGGCGAAACGGAUAAUAAGAUAAUAAAUACGCAAUAGAGGCGGGCAUAUCUCGUCAAUUAUAUUCUCUGACGCAUUGCCAGUGUCUUACGACGCGAUGCAAUCGCAGCGUAGUCUAUAAUGGUACAUAGGUCGUCUCUUGAUAUGUCACACUGCACAUUAUUAACGCAGAUAAGAUAACAUGAAUUCCGAGCCGAGAGAUAAAGGCGGGAAUCGGUUGCGAAAAUAUUGACAUUUUUGAGAGACAAAGCCGGAAGCUGAAUGGAAGGCAGAAUCGGAAGCGAGAACGACUUACGAGAAUAAACUAGGCUUUUUUUUCGAUAGAGAAAUCAAGGAUAAGAUUCGUUGUAAUAUUGAACGAUGAUUUUUCUAUCUCUCUCUAUCUCUCUCGUGUUACUACGCAGCACGUAAGGAACGACACAGACUAGGGAGGAGUGUGUGUUAACAAUGCACGGAAUGAUAUUGUGCUUCGCAAUUGUAAAAUUUAUCACGCGGUGCACGUGGAAAGGCAUACGUCACGUCUAUAAGCGCGAUUUGCGCAUUUUACGAUGAGUAGACCGAUCUCACUUACCGUUGACCUUAGUUAAAAUAACCGGAGAGUCACUUUCGCGUGCACUUAUAUUUCGCAGCGGUAAUUCAGCGUUUAUGAGCCCGCAUUGAAGCACGCGGAGGUCGCGCGUUUUACCAAGGCUGAUUAACUCCCGGAAUUAAUGCAAGACCAGGGAACAACUUUCCAUACACAGUACAUAUGUGCAUAUAGGAAAAAUUCUACGAUAAUUUAGAAAGGGGUUGCAAAAAAACAGUAAACAAAGCUCGCAAAUUUGCGCGAGAACUAAUAGCAGACAGUUCUAACGCAAGAUAUAUCGUAAAUCGCCUCCGUCAGCUUCAUCUCAUCCUGAAAAGGUGCAAUUUUACGUCAACAGUUUCCGACCAUUAAAAACAGGAAGAACCUACGUCAUCAAGUUACAAAAAAAGGAAGCGUUAAAAUUAUAUUCCUCAGCCCUGCGACGAUAGAACAUUAAUCUUCCCGAACAAGCAGUGCACGGACAUUAACAGUGGAUACGAUUUGAUUUCCGCGACAUUUUCAUGACAUAUACGUAUUAUCACAUUUUUCGCACCGGAAUGAAGAAAAUCAGUUGGAUGGAUCGAUUAAUUUUGGUGGAUCAUGAGAUCGAGAGAUUGACGGAAAGCCAAUCA